rnacentral:rRNA from 1 species
GAUGAACGCUGGCGGCGUGCCUAAUACAUGCAAGUCGAGCAAACAGACGAGGAGCUUGCUCCUCUGACGUUAGCGGCGGACGGGUGAGUAACACGUGGAUAACCUACCUAUAAGACUGGGAUAACUUCGGGAAACCGGAGCUAAUACCGGAUAAUAUAUUGAACCGCAUGGUUCAAUAGUGAAAGACGGUUUUGCUGUCACUUAUAGAUGGAUCCGCGCCGCAUUAGCUAGUUGGUAAGGUAACGGCUUACCAAGGCGACGAUGCGUAGCCGACCUGAGAGGGUGAUCGGCCACACUGGAACUGAGACACGGUCCAGACUCCUACGGGAGGCAGCAGUAGGGAAUCUUCCGCAAUGGGCUAAAGCCUGACGGAGCAACGCCGCGUGAGUGAUGAAGGUCUUCGGAUCGUAAAACUCUGUUAUUAGGGAAGAACAAAUGUGUAAGUAACUAUGCACGUCUUGACGGUACCUAAUCAGAAAGCCACGGCUAACUACGUG